rnacentral:piRNA from 1 species
CACGGCCCUGUAUGUUCCAAGGAACCAC